rnacentral:rRNA from 1 species
UACGGAGGGUGCAAACGUUGCUCGGAAUCAUUGGGCGUAAAGCGCACGUAGGCGGCUCGUUAAGUCGGGUGUGAAAGCCCUGGGCUCAACCCAGGAAGUGCAUUCGAAACUGGCGAGCUUGAAUAUGGAAGAGGGUCGCGGAAUUCCCGGUGUAGAGGUGAAAUUCGUAGAUAUCGGGAGGAACACCAGUGGCGAAGGCGGCGACCUGGGCCAAUACUGACGCUCAUGCACGAAAGCGUGGGGAGCAAACAGG